GAUAAACGCUGGCGGCGUGCCUAAUACAUGCAAGUCGAGCGAACAGACGAGGAGCUUGCUCCUCUGACGUUAGCGGCGGACGGGUGAGUAACACGUGGAUAACCUACCUAUAAGACUGGGAUAACUUCGGGAAACCGGAGCUAACACCGGAUAAUAUAUUGAACCGCAUGGUUCAAUAGUGAAAGACGGUUUUGCUGUCACUUAUAGAUGGAUCCGCGCCGCAUUAGCUAGUUGGUAAGGUAACGGCUUACAAAGGCAACGAUGCGUAGCCGACCUGAGAGGGUGAUCGGCCACACUGGAACUGAGACACGGUCCAGACUCCUACGGGAGGCAGCAGUAGGGAAUCUUCCGCAAUGGGCGAAAGCCUGACGGAGCAACGCCGCGUGAGUGAUGAAGGUCUUCGGAUCGUAAAACUCUGUUAUUAGGGAAGAACAAAUGUGUAAGUAACUAUGCACGUCUUGACGGUACCUAAUCAGAAAGCCACGGCUAACUACGUGCCAGCCGCCGCCGUAA
rnacentral:rRNA from 1 species